rnacentral:rRNA from 1 species
GGCAAGACCGGUGCCAGCCGCCGCGGUAACACCGGCAGCUCUAGUGGUAACAAUUUUUAUUGGGCCUAAAGCGUCCGUAGCCGGUUUAAUAAGUCUCUGGUGAAAUCCUGUAGCUUAACUGUGGGAAUUGCUGGAGAUACUAUUAGACUUGAGACCGGGAGAGGUUAGAGGUACUCCCAGGGUAGAGGUGAAAUUCUGUAAUCCUGGGAGGACCGCCUGUUGCGAAGGCGUCUAACUGGAACGGUUCUGACGGUGAGGGACGAAAGUUAGGGGCGCGAACCGGAUUAGAUACCCGGGUAGUCCUAACUGUAAACGAUGCGGACUUGGUGUUGGGGUGGCUUUGAGCUGCUCCAGUGCCGAAGGAAGCUGUUAAGUCCGCCGCCUGGGAAGUACGGUCGCAAGACUGAAACUUAAGGAAUUA